GACGAACGCUGGCGGCGUGCUUAACACAUGCAAGUCGAGCGAGGCUCCCUCCUUCGGGAGGGAUGUCCUAGCGGCGAACGGGUGAGUAACACGUGGGCAAUCUGCCCCUAGCUCUGGGAUAACCCCGGGAAACCGGGGCUAAUACCGGAUACGACCUCGAAAGGCAUCUUCCGAGGUGGAAAGGGUUUACUGGCUAGGGAUGAGCCCGCGGCCUAUCAGCUUGUUGGUGGGGUAAUGGCCUACCAAGGCGACGACGGGUAGCCGGCCUGAGAGGGCG
rnacentral:rRNA from 1 species